CCUACGGGGGGCAGCAGUGGGGAAUAUUGGACAAUGGGGGGAACCCUGAUCCAGCGAUGCCGCGUGAAUGAUGAAGGCCUUCGGGUUGUAAAGUUCUUUCAUUUGUGAUGAUAAUGACAUUAGCAAAAGAAGAAGCUCCGGCUAACUUCGUGCCAGCAGCCGCGGUAAUACGAGGGGAGCUAGCGUUGUUCGGAAUUAUUGGGCGUAAAGGGUGCGUAGGCGGCUCUGUAAGUAUUAUGUAAAAUCCCCGGGCUCAACCUUGGGUUCGCAUAAUAUACUGCAGUGCUAGAAGGUGAUAGAGGAAAACGGAAUUUCUAGUGUAGAGGUGAAAUUCGUAGAUAUUAGAAGGAACGUCAGAGGCGAAGGCGGUUUUCUGGGUCACUAUUGACGCUGAGGCACGAAAGCGUGGGGAGCAAACAGGAUUAGAUACCCCAGUAGUC
rnacentral:rRNA from 1 species